rnacentral:rRNA from 1 species
AACGAACGCUGGCGGCAUGCCUAACACAUGCAAGUCGAACGAGGCCUUCGGGUAUAGCGGCGCACGGGUGAGUAACGCGUGGGAAUGUGCCCUUGUGUACGGAAUAGCUGUGAGAAAGUGCUGCUAAUACCGGAUACGAUCUUCGGACGAAAGAUUUAUCGCACAGGGAUGAGCCCGCGUAGGAUUAGGUAGUUGGUGGGGUAAUGGCCUACCAAGGCGACGAUCCUUAGCUGGUCUGAGAGGAUGAUCAGCCACACUGGGACUGAGACACGGCCCAGACUCCUACGGGAGGCAGCAGUGGGGAAUAUUGGACAAUGGGCGCAAGCCUGAUCCAGCAAUGCCGCGUGAGUGAUGAAGGCCUUAGGGUUGUAAAGCUCUUUUACCCGGGAUGAUAAUGACAGUACCGGGAGAAUAAGCUCCGGCUAACUCCGUG